AACACGUGAAUUAAAUCAGCAGCUGAUUAUGGCGGCUGAACACCGGUCCAUCUAUACAACGAGAUGAUCUCUGGAGGCUUGCUGUAUAGGGUGACGGGAGAUCCAUCGGGCACAGCUCCGUGCCAAGGAAAAUAUUCAGCAUGAGCAUUCAUGGCAUAUCCCGGAGCGCACGUUUCGGGUGAUUGCUAUUUGCUCCGUAAGAGCUUAUAGGACUCUCGGCAAUGGAUAUCUUGGCUCUCGCAUCGAUGAAGAGCGCAGCGAAAUGCGAUACGUGGUGCGAAUUGCAGAAUCCCGUGAACCAUCGAGUUUUUGAACGCAAGUUGCGCCUGAGGCCAACUGGCCAAGGGCACGCCCGCCUGGGCGUCAAGCAUUGCAUCGCUCCAUUCGACACGCACCCUCGUUGUAAGGCGGCUGUGCGGUCUUGGAUGCGGAGAAUGGCCCGUCAUGCGCUGUUGCGUGGCGGGCUGAAGAGCGGGAUUAUUUUCUCUCGGCGAGAAUCGAUACAUGGGUGGGUUGGAAGCCCCAAUUUGAUCCUCAUCAUCGUAUGCCUGCCUUGAGAAAGCCUACAAGUCCCGGGCUAACCUAGCUCAAGUUGGAAGCAAAUUGAAAUGCGACCCCAGGAUGGGCGGGGUGACCCGCUGAGUUUAAGCAUAUCAAUAA
rnacentral:rRNA from 1 species